rnacentral:rRNA from 1 species
GCUUACGGCCAUACCAGCCUGGGUACGCCCGAUCUCGUCUGAUCUCGGAAGCUAAGCAGGGUCGGGCCUGGUUAGUACUUGGAUGGGAGACCGCUUGGAAUACCAGGUGCUGUAAGCA